rnacentral:rRNA from 1 species
UGAACGCUAGCGACAGGCCUAACACAUGCAAGUCGAGGGGCAGCACAAGGAGCAAUCUGAGGUGGCGACCGGCGCACGGGUGAGUAACACGUAUGCAACCUGCCUGUAAGCGGGGAAUAACCCGUUGAAAGACGGACUAAUACCGCAUAAUACUAAAUUACUGCAUGGUAAUUUAUUUAAACAUUUAUGGCUUACAGAUGGGCAUGCGCAUGAUUAGCUAGUUGGAGAGGUAACGGCUCACCAAGGCAACGAUCAUUAGGGGUUCUGAGAGGAAGGUCCCCCACACUGGUACUGAGACACGGACCAGACUCCUACGGGAGGCAGCAGUGAGGAAUAUUGGUCAAUGGACGAGAGUCUGAACCAGCCAAGUCGCGUGCAGGAAGAAUGUCCUAUGGAUUGUAAACUGCUUUUGCAGGGGAAUAAAGUGCAUCACGUGUGAUGUUUUGUAUGUACUCUGCGAAUAAGGAUCGGCUAACUCCGUGCCAGCAGCUGC